rnacentral:rRNA from 1 species
GUGGGGAAUUUUGGACAAUGGGCGCAAGCCUGAUCCAGCAAUGCCGCGUGCAGGAAGAAGGCCUUCGGGUUGUAAACUGCUUUUGUACGGAACGAAACGGUCCUGGCUAAUAUCCGGGGCUAAUGACGGUACCGUAAGAAUAAGCACCGGCUAACUACGUGCCAGCAACCGCGGUAAUACGUAGGGUGCGAGCGUUAAUCGGAAUUACUGGGCGUAAAGCGUGCGCAGGCGGUGCUGUAAGACAGGCGUGAAAUCCCCGGGCUCAACCUGGGAAUUGCGCUUGGGACUGCAGUGCUGGAGUGCGGCAGAGGGGGAUGGAAUUCCGCGUGUAGCAGUGAAAUGCGUAGAUAUGCGGAGGAACACCGAUGGCGAAGGCAGUCCCCUGGGCCUGUACUGACGCUCAUGCACGAAAGCGUGGGGAGCAAACAGGAUUAGAACCCCUGUAGUCC